GGAGGACACAAUUUACAGAUUGUAUAGGAUUUAAACUUGUAAUGAGUAAAAGUGUCACUGCUUGAAUUUUUUCAGAGUCAGGAAGCUCAUCAUAUUCUGUAGCAGACUAUACUAUUUUUUAGACAUUUUCAAUAGUUAAAAACUCAUUUUUAUAAAGAAAACAAUUGGCCUUUUAAUGUAAUUUGAACUUUGUGUUUUUUGACUAACAUUCAAUGUUUCUAAUUGUCAUAAGGAAUUUUUCAAGUGAUUACCACUUCGUUUAUUUUCAUGUUAAAUACUCCAUUUCUUUUAACCAAAGUGGGUAGUUCAUAGAGCCCAAUUAAUUUUAAUAAUUUAUGUUAUUUAAUUUUACUAAUUUAAUUUAAUAUAAACAACUAUUAGAAUCAUCUUCUGCUAUGGUUUGAACAUAUCCUAUCUAAAAUGUAGUUGUUGCUAAUAUAAUGAUAUUAAUGUGUGGGCCCUUUAAGAGGGAUUAGACCAUGAUGACUUCUUUCACAUGAAUGGGAUUAAGGCCCUUAUAAAAGAGGCUUUACACAGUGUUUGACUUUCUUACCCUUCCACCAUCUUCCUUAUGAGGGCACAAUGUUGCUUCCCGCUGGAAGACACAGCAAUAAGGCACUAUUGUGGAAGCUCAGAAAGCAACUCAUCACCCAGCCUCACCAGCCAGCAUCUUGAUUUUGGAGAACGUUGACCCAAAGUCUUAUUUCCAAGGGGAGAGAUGCUUUCACCAGGAGAUUCAACAAUGAUUUCACUGAACUGGACAUUAAGGCUGCUGUCCAGGUGCUUUGAAGUCCUUAUGCCUCUGAAUCAAGAGGGAGAAAAGGCGGUUACUCUGCUGGCUGGAGCGAGUGAUCCUGAAUACCAAGGGAAAAUUGGAUGACUACUCCACAAUAAGGAAGAAUACAGCAGAUCCCUUACACCAUCUCUUAGUAUUACUAUGUCCCCUGUGAUUAAGGUCAGUGGAAAAUUAAAAGAACCCAUUCCAGUCAGAACUAAUAGUCCAGACUCUUCAGGAAUGAGAGCUUGUGUCACUCCACCAAGCAGAAAAUACAACCAGCUAAGGUGCUUGCUGAAGGUAAAGGGAACACAAAACAGGAGGUGCAAAAAAGUAGUUAUAAAUACCAGCCAUGACAACAUGACCAGCUACAGAAAUGAAGACUAUAAUUGUUACAAUCUUCAAGGAAUGAGAAACUCCAGUCACACAGGGAUCUAAGGAGACAACAUGUUGAUGAAAUGCUACUGCCUUUUCCUCAAAUCAAAAUCCCAUUCAAAGGAAAAACACCCUUUUGUCAUUGAAAUACAGUGAUCAUGUGAUUUGCAGAUGUGUUAGAGUCUUUUGGCUAAAUUCUGGAAAAUUUGUAAAAACUCACUAAAUCAUACACUUGUAUAUGUAGAAAAGUUGUAAUUAUACCUUCAUAAAAUCAAUAAACUCACAUACCUCUCUCCAUGUGGUUUCUCAAAUGUGUAGUUCUCAAAUGUGUAAUUCUCAAAUGAAUUAUCAUUUGAGAAGGCAUUACAUUCAAAUUCAGACUCCCAAAGUCAUUCAGACUCCCGGAUUAUCCUGCAUAAAUGCUCAAAAUUGUUUCCCAGCUGGGCAGAGUUGAGCUCAAGACAAAAAUUAAAAAGGUUAUUACCAAAAUACUUGACCUAACUGUAUAUUGGAAUAUUUAGUCAAAUAUUGGGGUAACAAUCAAAAAAGCAUGUAUAAUUGACUUCAACAUUUGGACAAUAAAUUUUUUAAAGUGGAUAAAAAUGCAUGACAUGGAAGGAGCAGCCCAAAAGGAAGAUGCUCAGAUAAACCCACAUAGUAUAUGUAAGAUUACCUGUGUUGAAGAAAUUUUCAAGAUGGUGAUUGUGACAAUGUGGACAGACUGUGCAUUUCAUUGUCUCUAUUUUCUCUUGCUUUUUUAUUUUUAUUUUUAAGAGGUUCUUCUUUCUCUCUGGUGAAUUCUCACUUAUUCUUCACAAGAACUUAAAUUUCAUUGUAUCUAUGAAGGUCAACUCUUAUAGAAUGUUUGUCUCCUCUAGCUCCUUAG
rnacentral:lncRNA from 1 species